rnacentral:lncRNA from 1 species
GCUGCCUACCCUUCCCACCCUCGGUCCGCAGCCGCACCGGCGACUGUGGUGUCGUGUCCCUCUUCCCCAGGGUUCUGUGAAGCCCCGGAGGACGGGGAUCCGGGUGCGACUUCGUCAGCACUCUAUCCCCCAGGGGGCCCCGGGCUGGCAUACGGUGGACACUGAACUCAUGUGCAAUUAUCCAGAAAGGGAGGUGCUGUAGAGAUUCAUCCAGUCGGCCACCAAACACGUAUUGGCUACUUACUGUGUGCCGAGACCACAGCGGUCCUCAGUUCAGUUCCCUGGACCUUAAGUGACGGAAACAAAGGUCAACAGGUGGCCGUCCCACGAAGGGCCAGGCAAGGGACCAUGGGCCCGGGAUCCGAAGAGGCCCCCGGCGGAUGAAGCAACCCUUCCGAGAAGCCACAUA